CGAGCUAACUGAAAGAAUACAUAAUCUAAAGUUAGGAAUCUUAUAAUUUUUAUUAUAAGUUUAAAGACGAAUCUAACUAACAGUGUCGUCCAAAUUCUGGUGCCAGAAGACUCGGUAAUACCAGAGACGCGAACGUUAAUCAUCUUGAAUGGGCAUAAAGGGUUUGUAGGCGGCUUAUUUAUUAAUAGGCUAGAAUCUUAGAGAGGUUAAUAAAAUACUUAGAGGAGGGCUGAUAUCCUUAGAUCCUAAGUGGAAUCCUAAUUGCGAAGGCCAUUUUCCACUACAGAUUGACGCUGAGACACGAAGGUUAGGAUAGGAACUAGGAUUAGAGACCCUAUUACCCCUAACUGUAAACGAUGAAUGGCAGAUAUUUACAACUGUAAGUGUCGAAGUGAAUACGAUAACCAUUCCGCCUUGCCAGUAUACUUGCAAAAGUGAAAACAAAAAAAUUAGUCGGUCCUAAAGCAAACGAAGUGAAGCAUGUUAUUUAAUUCGGUAAUCCGCA
rnacentral:rRNA from 1 species